rnacentral:lncRNA from 1 species
AAGACACUUUUCCAAGGCUUGUGGAAAUCUCUUAGAAAUACUUUGCAGCUCAGUUUUUUUCAUAUCCUCUUUAUUUAUUUAUUUUUUAGUAUCAAGAGAAUCAUGGUUGUGAUUUUCAGAAUAGCGUUUGUCAUUUUGUCAUUAGAUAUAGCAUGUGAGUUUGUAGUUACUAAAUUCUAAGGCUCGUGGUUCCCAGGCCUCACUCUUCAGUAUUUCUGUGAAGGGACUGCAGUGCAUAUGUGCAUGCAGUUUUGAUUUUUUUUAUUGUUCAUCUUUUAGGAAUACCUCUUGGGAAAUAUUUCCAGUAGGUUGCUUAAGUUUAUUUUGCUGCUAAUGUUAACAUUAGCUGGUAGCUUGCAGGUUGAGGGUGGCUGGAACUUUGAGCUUUUGUAGUAUUUGAGGCUUAGUUGUUCAGCCUUUUGCACAUUACCACAAUGCUGUCUACCCAGUUCAGUGUGUGUAAGCCAGUACCCACAACACUCAGUCCUAUACUGGCUGCUUUUAUACUCCUCCUGUCCCCAUGCCCCAUUGUGGCUUCCCAAAGCAUUAAAGCUCUCUCUGUCCUGCCUUGGUGUGACUGAGGUGACUGCUACCUUACAUGUCAUCAUUUAUUCAGUGGCACAAGGUGAGCCCUGCUUGAGUUUAGCCACCAAUCUUGUUUUAUUUUUAUUUUCUGAAAAAGCACGAAAUGUUGAGACCAUUAGUAUCAGGAAUUGAGCAUUUAUGUGCUUUGAGCUCCUGAAACAGUCUUAGAAUUAUAGUAUGAUAAAACAAAGGACUUUAAUAACAAGCUGUUUUGCCAUAAUUAAGAUGAAUAGAAACUAGUUUAAUUUUCACAGUACUAUAUCAUUUUAUUUUUGAAGGCAGUUAGGAGUGGAUCCUCUUUUUCCUGCAUAUCAUGUUUUUAAAAACAAAACAGAAAAAUUCUCUACUGGUCUUUACUUUUCCAUGGGAUCUAGAAAUACAUUUUUUAAUAAUAUAAUAAAAUCUAAAAGCUACAUGAAUAUGGAGUUUAGUGCUUAUUUCAUAGUUAGUUCAAUAGAAAAAAAUCAGGAAGUGUCAUGGCAUUAUCUAGGCUGUGAAACUGUUAUGCUUGUGAGGUUGGUUAACGGUAAAAUCUAAUUCCCGACUACUGGGAUAUAUUUAAGACACAGAAAAUACUACUUUGAAGGUGCUGCCUACAGUGAAAUGGCUUAUGAGAAUAUCACUUAGUUCAUUCUGUUCUGAGGCAGGGUUAGGGACUUGGUUAUUAAAAUCUUUCUCCCAGUGAUUUGGGCACAGUGAACAUGUGUACUUUGGGGCCAAACUCAGAUGGUAGGUCAGAGUUUCUGCUUAGCCUGGUAGGGCAGUCAUUCCCAGGAGACACACAGCACCAACCAACAGCGCGAUGAAUUGGUAAUGUUGUUUUGCUGUUAAAUAAAAAUCCUUUUUAUUCUUGC